UACAGAGGUCCCAAGCGUUGUUCGGAUCCACUGGGCGUAAAGGGUGCGCAGGUGGGUUGGUAAGUUCGAUGUGAAAGCCCCGGGCUUAACCCGGGAAUGGCAUUGGAAACUGCUGAUCUGGAGGAUCGGAGGGGGGACUGGAAUUCUUGGUGUAGCAGUGAAAUGCGUAGAUAUCAAGAGGAACACCAGUGGCGAAGGCGAGUCCCUGGACGAUACCUGACACUGAGGAGCGAAAGCCAGGGGAGCAAACGGG
rnacentral:rRNA from 1 species